rnacentral:misc_RNA from 1 species
CGUCUGAAUUGGCUUGGACUUGGUCUCUUUGCAUCCUCCUCUUUCGCCCAUGAGUGAAUCUCUUGUAGAACUUCAAAGGCCUGCUAACAUUUACACUCAUUCUAGUGAGUUGCACCAAACUUCUGGCUGCUAAGGAAGUUAUCAGAUAAAUCAUUCCAUGACAUUUUGAUACUUCUAAAUUUGUCAGAUUUUGGAAUCAAAAUGAGGAUGGCACUAAAAUAUUCAACAUGCAGCAUUCA